GACGAACGCUGGCGGCGUGCUUAACACAUGCAAGUCGAACGGUGAUGCUCCAGCUUGCUGGUGUGGAUCAGUGGCGAACGGGUGAGUAACACGUGAGCAACCUGCCCCAGACUCUGGAAUAAGCGCUGGAAACGGCGUCUAAUACUGGAUACGAAACUGGCCCGCAUGGGCAUGGUUUGGAAAGUUUUUCGGUUUGGGAUGGGCUCGCGGCCUAUCAGCUUGUUGGUGAGGUAAUGGCUCACCAAGGCGACGACGGGUAGCCGGCCUGGGAGGGCGACCGGCCACACUGGGACUGAGACACGGCCCAGACUCCUACGGGAGGCAGCAGUGGGGAAUAUUGCACAAUGGGCGAAAGCCUGAUGCAGGGACGCCGCGUGGGGGAUGACGGCCUUCGGGUUGGAAACCUCUUUCAGCAGGAAAGAAGCGAAAGUGACGGUACCAGAAGAAGAAGCACCGGCUACCUACGU
rnacentral:rRNA from 1 species